GACGAUGGCCUGCACUGUUUUCUCAUGAGGAGAUAUCUGAAGAAUUCUAUCGAAUCACCAGCAGAGACCUCCGGGCAACUUGGAAUGCAUCCCUCGACAAGUAUGUCCCUCGCCUGAUAAAACUGUACCGAGCCAGAAAAGCAGCUUUUGGUCCAGAUAUGGAGAUGUUGCUGAAUAAACUUGAUGAAGAGACAACAGACAUUGUGCGUCAUCGAAGGACAGCAGCACUGAAAGGCCUUCCCAUUUUUGUUCGUGACGAUGCAUCAGAGUUCUAUUUGAAGUGUGUGAACACAGACCCUGAAGAAUCGGUAGUUGAAGGAGUGCCCGUUGCAAUACUGACCGUCUAUGUAGAUGAUGAUGCUGCCGCAUGGGAAACAGUGACUGACAUCGCCAUCAUCCUGGAAGGGGCAGUGAUACUUCACAACUUACCUGACCUCGCAGCUGCUUACGCCUGCCUGUUUGGCCUUUUGUAUGCAAUGGACAUAAACUAUCCAGAGCAGAUGAGGUACACCUUCGAGGCUAUCCAGAACAUCUUUUUCGAACUUGGUUCAAGAUGCUCACAGCGCACGCGAUCCUUGAAAGAGAAGCUGCUGCUGUGAAGCCAGAUUGACACUCACGUGGACAUCAACAUGCAUGCAUGCACACACAGCUUUGUCAUAACUCCUGCAUGAACACACACACAAAGCUCUUCUCUGCCGACUACCACAUGGACAGGCCUGUACACAUAUAUUGUUCCCCAACAACUUUUCCAAGAACAAGCAUGCUGCACGUGCACACAGAGUAAAGAGCAGUUCUCAAGAAGCUCUUUUCUCAGGGCGCCAAGCUCUUCUGUGCUUUCUUCUAGAAGCUAAGAUAAUUCAUUAAGUUCAUUGUGGGUAUAUUUUUAUAAUAUAUGUGGUUUAUGUUGUUGUUUUGUAUCUUGAUACAAUAGCUGCAUUUACAUGACCCCUCUUGCCUAAUUUCCAGAUUAGAGUAUUUAGAAAAGGUGUCACCUACACCACCUCUUGGAUCCAAAGAUUCUGAUUUGGUGAGGUGCUUACAUCUAGUUAUCAAUCAGAUUGAAAGUGAAAGAAGGUCAUGUAAAUGGGGAUAUUGUUAAACAGCUUGAGGUUCCAUCACCAAUGUGCACACCUGCUACUCUGCUUGCCAGCACACAUAGCUCUCAUACAUAUAGACUGUUCUCUCACCCCACACACAGACAGAAGAGCAGUUCUCAAGAAGCUCUGUUCUCAGGGAGCCAAGCUCUUCUGUGCUUUCUUCUAGAAGCUAAGAUAAUUCAUUAAGUUCAUUGUGGGUAUAUUUUUAUAAUAUAUGUGGUUUAUGUUGUUGUUUUGUAUCUUGAUACAAUAGCUGCAUUUACAUGACCCCUCUUGCCUAAUUUCCAGAUUAGAGUAUUUAGAAAAGGUGUCACCUACACCACCUCUUGGAUCCAAAGAUUCUGAUUUGGUGAGGUGCUUACAUCUAGUUAUCAAUCAGAUUGAAAGUGAAAGAAGGUCAUGUAAAUGGGGAUAUUGUUAAACAGCUUGAGGUUCCAUCACCAAUGUGCACACCUGCUACUCUGCUUGCCAGCACACAUAGCUCUCAUACAUAUAGACUGUUCUCUCACCCCACACACAGACAGAAGAGCAGUUCUCAAGAAGCUCUGUUCUCAGGGAGCCAAGCUCUUCUGUGCUUUCUUCUAGAAGCUAAGAUAAUUCAUUAAGUUCAUUGUGGGUAUAUUUUUAUAAUAUAUGUGGUUUAUGUUGUUGUUUUGUAUCUUGAUACAAUAGCUGCAUUUACAUGACCCCUCUUGCCUAAUUUCCAGAUUAGAGUAUUUAGAAAAGGUGUCACCUACACCACCUCUUGGAUCCAAAGAUUCUGAUUUGGUGAGGUGCUUACAUCUAGUUAUCAAUCAGAUUGAAAGUGAAAGAAGGUCAUGUAAAUGGGGAUAUUGUUAAACAGCUUGAGGUUCCAUCACCAAUGUGCACACCUGCUACUCUGCUUGCCAGCACACAUAGCUCUCAUACAUAUAGACUGUUCUCUCACCCCACACACAGACAGAAGAGCAGUUCUCAAGAAGCUCUGUUCUCAGGGAGCCAAGCUCUUCUGUGCUUUCUUCUAGAAGCUAAGAUAAUUCAUUAAGUUCAUUGUGGGUAUAUUUUUAUAAUAUAUGUGGUUUAUGUUGUUGUUUUGUAUCUUGAUACAAUAGCUGCAUUUACAUGACCCCUCUUGCCUAAUUUCCAGAUUAGAGUAUUUAGAAAAGGUGUCACCUACACCACCUCUUGGAUCCAAAGAUUCUGAUUUGGUGAGGUGCUUGCAUCUAGUUAUCAAUCAGAUUGAAAGUGAAAGAAGGUCAUGUAAAUGGGGAUAUUGUUAAACAGCUUGAGGUUCCAUCACCAAUGUGCACACCUGCUACUCUGCUCGCCAGCACACAUAGCUCUCAUACAUAUAGACUGUUCUCUCACCCCACACACAGACAGAAGAGCAGUUCUCAAGAAGCUCUGUUCUCAGGGCGCCAAGCUCUUCUGUGCUCUCCCCAUAACAGUUCAACAUUGUGGUUUUAUGUUUGUAUCUGUUGAUAUAGUAGCCUUGUUGCACACAUAGCCCAGACUGCCAUUUACCACAGCGCGCACACACACACAUGCAUGCAUUCAGGUCUCCAACUCUUGAAUAAGCAAACACACGCACACUUGGAGAGGAAAGUGCAGUUCUCAAGAGGCUCUCAGGUUACUUUGCUCUGUGCAAUUAAGAUUGUGUUGUUGAACAUGGUUUUAUACUGUAUCUAUUGAUACAAUGUUUGACUUGAAGCAAUAAAAAUGUUGUAUUAACAUAAUUUUUUGUGUGUUGAAUGAUGGGUAGUGAAGACCAUUGGUAGAACUAAAAAAAACUGAGUUGAUAGAAUUCAUCUUACAGAUAACACUACAAAAUCUGAGUUUGUAUAACUCAAAAUCUAUAUGUCAAACUCAUAAAACAAAGUUGAUAGAACUCAGAACUUAAAGGUUAAACAGAAAAACCUAAGUUAGUAGAACUCAAAAUGUAUGUAUAAAACUAAAAAACCUAAGUUGGUAGAACUCAAAAUGUAUGUAUAAAACUAAAAAACCCAAGUUGGUAGAACUCAAAAUGUAUGUAUAAAACUAAAAAACCCAAGUUGGUAGAACUCAAAAUGUAUGUAUAAAACUAAAAAACCCAAGUUGGUAGAACUCAAAAUGUAUGUAUAAAACUAAAAAACCCAAGUUGGUAGAACUCAAAAUGUAUGUAUAAAACUAAAAAACCCAAGUUGGUAGAACUCAAAAUGUAUGUAUAAAACUAAAAAACCCAAGUUGGUAGAACUCAAAAUGUAUGUAUAAAACUAAAAAACCCAAGUUGGUAGAACUCAAAAUGUAUGUAUAAAACUAAAAAACCCAAGUUGGUAGAACUCAAAAUGUAUGUAUAAAACUAAAAAACCCAAGUUGGUAGAACUCAAAAUGUAUGUAUAAAACUAAAAAACCCAAGUUGGUAGAACUCAAAAUGUAUGUAUAAAACUAAAAAACCCAAGUUGGUAGAACUCAAAAUGUAUGUAUAAAACUAAAAAACCCAAGUUGGUAGAACUCAAAAUGUAUGUAUAAAA